CUGUGUUCAACAUUCAGAUUUGAAAACAUCCUUCCCUCUUCUUUUUUGCUUUUGGUUUUGCAUUAAGUAUGGAGUUGUUUGGAGGGGUUGUUUCCACUCCUACUUUUUGUCUUACAGUUACAGAGCAGAGUGCAGCAUCUCCAAGCAUUCAAUGCAGCCAUGUGAGAAAACUGGCAUGAACUAUCAAUUCAGCACAGCCAAGCUGCCAGAUGCCACAAGUUGGAGCCUUCUUUCUCAGUAAGCCACUUCCUUUUAUGUUUCAAUGUCAGAAGUGAAGUGACGAUCAGACAGCCAAGGCAGCGGCUAUGGCAGAAGAACACAGAAAAACUGAAGGGAAUGAAGGCAAAAUAUAAAGACAUUGAAAACCAACAAGUAAUUGCCUUGAGAAUAGUGACGUUGAAAACUCAGAUGAGGACAGAGUAAAAUAAUUCUCAUUUUAGUGGGAACACAAUAAAAACAGUAAUUUGUUGUCGUGCCACAGCAGCAGCCUAAGAUGUGAGCGCCUCAUCAGCCUACUGCACCCAUCUGCUCACAGUCACUGCUCCUGCACAACAGCUGGCAGAAAGGAACACGGACCUUCCUGCCCUAGUGCAAUUAUGAGUAACUGCAGUAUGGAGUGAGUAUUUUCUUCAGCCACACUGAAAGGGUAAUAAUGCAGUGAUGACUGCCCUAGAGUGCAAACACAAGUCAGAAGUAAGAGCAACUAGAAGAAAGUAACUUCAUCUCACUUUGUUGCAAAGACAUGCUGAAACUCAACCACCAAAGCCCUGAAGGGAGGCAAAGAAAGAAAGACUCAUACAACACCCCAGCUUGUGUUUUAUUAAGGAGACCUUACACUUGUACAUUGGCCCAUACAAGACUUGUACAUAAAACUUGGUAAAACCAUCAGUGAAUACAGCAAGCUAUUACAUAGAAACAAACAUCAUGGAGACAAACUGCGUGAACCAACAGAUAUUACAGCAACAUGAGACAAACCAAAGAAUAAGUCUACAAACAUCAGAACACAACAACUAUCAAUACUGCUCUUCAAUUAAAAUUUCAAGAGCUGCAAGAAUGUAUCAUACUAGGAAAAAAAAGAUCUUUGAAUAAACAUGAAGUUUAUGAAAAAAAAUUUCUUUAAAAAUGUGUCCCAACACUUGCUCCUAUCUUUUCAUUAGUAGUUUUACCCCUAUUAAAGCAAAUAUUCGCUGAAAAUCAAAAUGAAUUUUAAAUAAAUUGAGAGAAAUCUUAGAACACUUGAAUUAAAGGGUAAGCCCCCCUGAAUUUGAAUGUAGUGUAGGAAGCAUUUCAUAAUACUCCUGUAUCUUUCUCCUAAACCCUCCAAAAACAAAAACAAACAACAACAACAAAAAAACCAGCUCAUGUUUUUUGAAUUCCACAGCACUGCCAUUUCUGUAAUUUUGCUGUAAUAAAAGGAAGGACAGGGCUAAACUGUCACAAACCAUUCAAUAAGGCACAAAGACCUCUGUUACUCAUUGUUCCCGUCUUCUUCAGUAGCAACACAGCUUCCCAAAGGUGAAUCACAGAAGUGGAAGUUUAUGUAAACCUGAUUCUUUGCAAGAGGACUUGGAAGGUUCUCAUACCUUACUGGUGCAUAAUCACUGCUGAUAGGAAAGACAACAUGCACCAGCUGCUGGAAUCAAAUUAUUCCAUCUCCAAAUAGCACAACAUGAAUCAUAAGUGAAAGCUUUAUGGAGCAAGGGGUCAGUAACAUUAAAUAGAAUUCAAUGGAGAUGGAAAGUGAAAUGCAAAACCAAAUCUGUAAUAACCUCAUCAAAUGGCCUGAUCACACACAGCUGAUGUAUAAAAUGUGUAAGUUUUAGAUCUAACCUGAAGAUAGGUUUUUUUGCAGUCAGAGUAGGCCAAAACUGAGUAAUUCUUCAUGUGAAUGCUGAAGAUGAAGAUAGAAUUGUUCAUAAAAAAAUGUGUCUUCUGGAGCAUUUGCUUUGAUUCCACAGCACAUUUAAGCAAUGCAAAUGUCAGAAAAUCACUUUAUGUUGUUUUCAACAUUAUAUUCACAUCUUACCUUCCAGAUUUUUUUGAGUAGUUACACAGGAAUGAUGAACCCAACUUUCUUCUGCAACACCUGUUGUGUUAAGUUCUAUCACAUUCAUAGAAAAAGUCAAGGCUUGGCCCAGACUGGUAGUAAAUUAGAAACGUACUGUUAACUUAUUAAGCUUACUGUAUGUACUGCAGACUCAAAGCAACGUCCAGAACUUUGGUUAAUGGGAGCUUUUGUGGGUUCUAAAUCCUGUUCUCCUGAAAAAGGAGUAAGCUAAAAAGGUCAUCAUCCAGAACAAAAGAUACCACGCAAUCAGAUACACUAUCAUGCUUGUUCAGGCAAUUGCACUAAAACUGCACUAAAAUUGCACCUGGGCUAAUCAAAAUGAUCUGCGUUAGAAGAAGGUCCUUGAAGAAUCUAUUUACCAUAGUUACAGCAAGUUCAGAAAUAGUUAAUGCCUUUUCUUCCUAUGCUGUAGCAAAGCGUACAAGCACAGUUAAUAGAAACUGAUGCUAUAAAGAACAGAUUAAAUCUGUUCAGAUCUGAUCAAGUUGGCACAAGCAACUAAACAAUACUUGCACUGUCAGACUUUGGUCAUUACUGCUGUUCAUUUAAAAAAAAACAAGAUGAAAGAGAGGCAAAAGAUUCAUAAGAUAAAAUAACGGAGACUUUUCUUGUAGGUAAUAAACACGGUUACUGUGAGUUGUUUUGUUUUUUUUAAGUUAACUUUUGAAAAUUUCUGAAAUUAUAUGCUGAGUUAAAAAGGUGUACAAUCUGGAAUGUGGAAAGUAAAUCACAGAAGUGUAUAAAUUUUGCUGUAAGCAGUGAUUAGUGUAAAACUACUUAAUUCUAGGGGCCUCAAGCUUUUAAAGAGACAGCAGCAGAACAUUUUACGUAGCUCAUGGUAAUAUCAUGGAUUCUACGUUUAAGAUCUCAUAAACAGAAUCUUCUACUGAUGAGGAGUGAGAAAAUUAUCCAUUAUGAUAGCAGCACAAAUGGAGCAUAUGAGGAUGAGCUACAAAAUAAUCCCUCUGGGAAACUGCAUAGUGCUGUACCUACUACAGUCUGAACUGUUGUCCUCCUGUAUAAAAUGUGAAUGAUUUUCCUUGACAGACACUGAAUGGUUUUUGACUGGCGCACACAAAAGCUGCUGGUAGCGAAUUACCUCAGUCUACAACUAGCAACCAGGGUUGUUCUCCCCUUUAUAUACUUGCAGGAAACAAGUGCUAGAUGCCACUGGGAGAAUGACAGAGAACAUGCAUGUGAUGAGUAAGUAACAAUACUGACCUGUUAAAGAGGCACUGCAUUUCUACAUUAUUAUGUACAAUUAUACAAGAACUAUUUCAGUGACCAUGGGUGUGUUCUAUACACCCCAUUUGGGAAGGAAAAUACACUUCCCUUUCAUGUUGAAAGAAACCAAGUAUUAUAAAUGAGGUCAUACCUUGUAGGCUUCAUAUUUAACAUUCUAUUCCUAUAGCUUUUUUAAACUCAGAAUUUUGUGGUUCUGAGAUGUCAUAAUAAACCCUACUUUUAUCAAAGUUUUCACGGAUGAAAAGCAAAUCUUCUACAGAAUACGCAUCCUCCUUGCCUGUCCAAACAGUGA
rnacentral:lncRNA from 1 species